UACAGAGGGGGCAAGCGUUGUUCGGAAUUACUGGGCGUAAAGGGCGCGUAGGCGGCCUGCUAAGUCGAACGUGAAAUCCCUGGGCUCAACCCAGGAACUGCGUCCGAUACUGGUUGGCUUGAAUCCGGGAGAGGGAUGUGGAAUUCCAGGUGUAGCGGUGAAAUGCGCAGAUAUCAGGAAGAACACCUAUGGCGAAGGCAGCACUCUGGGACGGUACUGACGCUGAGACGCGAAAGCGUGGGGAGCGAACAGG
rnacentral:rRNA from 1 species